rnacentral:rRNA from 1 species
UACAGGGGGGGCAAGCGUUGUUCGGAAUUACUGGGCGUAAAGGGCGCGUAGGCGGCCUUCUAAGUCGAACGUGAAAUCCCCGGGCUCAACCCGGGAACUGCGUCCGAUACUGGAAGGCUUGAAUCCGGGAGAGGUGAGUGGAACUGCGAGUGUAGAGGUGAAAUUCGUAGAUAUUCGCAAGAACACCAGUGGCGAAGGCGGCUCACUGGCCCGGUACUGACGCUGAGGUGCGAAAGCGUGGGGAGCAAACAGG